rnacentral:lncRNA from 1 species
GAAUACUUAUAUUCUUUCAGCUUAUAUAUAUAAUUGCUAUUACUUGCUGGGCACUCAAAUGCUCAUCCUUGCUUAAACUAAAUGUUUUCAGUUACGUACGAUCGACCUGAAGGCUCAGGCACGAACAAGGGAAAAGAAAAGCUGUUCGAAUGAGAUUUAGUAUGAGUUAAUGGUUAUAGUUAGUAAGACAAUGGAAUCUAUUGUCAGAUAUUGUAAGGAAUGUAUUUGAAGGUCACGUACCUGGGAAAGUAAACUUUGAUGUAUGUAAAUUAAGUUCGAAUUAUAUUAUUAUUUAGUAUUAUUCAGCUUAAAGAAAUGGUAUCAUGGAGAACCGAGUUCGGGUUUCAAGUAUCCGGAUUUGGGGUCGCCACA